rnacentral:tRNA from 1 species
UGGGUCCAUAGUUAAACGGAUAUAACUACUGCCUUCUAAGCAGUUAUUCUAGGUUCGAUUCCUAGUGGACCUGU